CUAACCGGGGUGAGGGAGGUUUUCGCACGUUCAAACCCUGGUUUGAGGGUCUGUGAGGAGGCCCCCCCAGGGUGCUCUGCUCGAGAGGACGCUGAACUCAUGCUGAUGUGGUAGGAAGCAAAAGAGACGGCCUCUCUCAGGCAGUCGGGACAGAGAUGGGGGAAGACACCAAACCGGAGAAGAGAGCAAGGAUCCUUCUGAGGGCACAACCAUUAGAUUUGCUGUUUCAGUGGCCAAAGAUGCUGUUGUGUCCUGAUUGGUUGGUGAAAUUGCUGUCAUCCUUACUUCCCCCUCAUGUUUUCAACGAAGGUCAUUAACUGAGAAACAUACAGCCCUGAUUGCUGUUGGUAGACAUUUGCCACUAUGAUGGAAGGUAGCCUGAGGACAAAAUAAUUGUCAAGAAAAAGGCAGAAUCAAGAGAGUCACAGAAGAAUAAAGCUGGA